GAUGAACGCUAGCGACAGGCCUAACACAUGCAAGUCGAACGGCAGCAUGGCCUAGCUUGCUAGGUUGAUGGCGAGUGGCGAACGGGUGAGUAACGCGUAGGAAUAUGCCCUGGAGAGGGGGAUAACUUGGGGAAACUCAAGCUAAUACCGCAUGAACUCUGAGGAGCGAAGCUGGGGACCUUAGGGCCUGGCGCUUCAGGAAUAGCCUGCGUCUGAUUAGCUAGUUGGUGGGGUAAGGGCCUACCAAGGCGACGAUCGGUAGCUGGUCUGAGAGGAUGAUCAGCCACACUGGGACUGAGACACGGCCCAGACUCCUACGGGAGGCAGCAGUGGGGAAUAUUGCACAAUGGCCGAAAGCCUGAUGCAGCAACGCCGCGUGAGCGAUGAAGG
rnacentral:rRNA from 1 species